rnacentral:rRNA from 1 species
GACGAACGCUGGCGGCGUGCUUAACACAUGCAAGUCGAACGGUAAGGCCCUUUCGGGGGUCCACGAGUGGCGAACGGGUGAGUAACACGUGGGUGAUCUGCCCUGCACUUUGGGAUAAGCCUGGGAAACUGGGUCUAAUACCGGAUAGGACUACGCGAUGCAUGUCGUGUGGUGGAAAGCUUUUGCGGUGUGGGAUGGGCCCGCGGCCUAUCAGCUUGUUGGUGGGGUGAUGGCCUACCAAGGCGACGACGGGUAGCCGGCCUGAGAGGGUGUCCGGCCACACUGGGACUGAGAUACGGCCCAGACUCCUACGGGAGGCAGCAGUGGGGAAUAUUGCACAAUGGGCGCAAGCCUGAUGCAGCGACGCCGCGUGGGGGAUGACGGCCUUCGGGUUGUAAACCCCUCUCAGCACAGACGAAGCGUAAGUGACGGUAUGUGCAGAAGAAGCACCGGCCAACUACGUG